UUCUGAGCCAGUCGCCAGGCCUCAGUGAUACAGACCAGAUCAGCCUCCUCAUCCAUAAUCACACCAUGGGCAAGGGGUGACUUAUUCAGAGCUGACCUGGAAUUCAACAACAGCAGCUGCAGACAACUGCAAUUCCCCAGGUUGGAGGAGGGGCUGGCGCAUGGCAUAGUCACCAACUGCCUGUGUCGUGUGCCCCUUAUCUAGUGUGCCCCGCCCCACCCCUUGCCCAGAACCACUAUGAUUGGGGGCACCCCUGCUCCUCUCUUCCCAGGAACAUAUUACGUUCCUUAAAUAUAACAAAUUCAAAUUUAAAAACACACAAGUUAAAAACCAUUUUAAACAAUUAGAGCAAUAAUAACAGCAUUAGAACCUUGAAACAAAAUGCCCUAAACAAUACCCCAACCCAAGAGUCUGUUCAGCUUUUGUGGCUGGAGUCAGUCAAGGCCUGCAAGGCAGGAAGCAGGUCCUCCAGGAUUCACAGCCAAAAUAUUUCAGAUACAGUGGUACCUCAGGUUACAGAUGCUUCAGGUUACAGACUCCGCUAACCCACAAAUAGUACCCCGGGUUAAGAACUUUGCUUCGGGAUGAGAACAGAAAUCGUGCGGCAGCAGUGGGAGGCCCCAUUAGCUAAAGUGGUGCUUCAGGUUAAGAACAGUUUCAGGUUAAGAAUGGACCUCCGGAAUGAACUAAGUUCUUAACCCGAGAUAUCACUCUACUGUACUUUUUGAUCCUGAGAGAGGCGUAUAAACCAAACCCCAGGAACCUGGAUUUAAGUGAGUGGGGAGAGGAAAACAGAGGUGGCAAUGCAAAAAGACUUGUACUUUCAUCUAAGUUACAAGCUAGUUUCUCUCAGCAUAUAGAGCUCAAAUACCCAACACAACAAGACUCUGAAGAACAAACUACAAUUUAGGGCCUCUGUCUCAGCCCCACCCCCACAAUAUGGGCAUGAUAUAUUUCAGCCUCAUUCCAACUCAUCUGUAAUAUGGCUGCAAUAUUACUGCACAGUGAUAUCUGGUUGAAAGGCAGUAUAUAAAUGUAAUAAAUAAAUAUUUGUCUAUGUUUGGAUAUAAUUAGAUGUCAUUUUGGAUCAAGAUAGUGAAGUUAAGCUUUUAAAACUGCCCCGAUUUUUGUGUUGUGGUUUCUCAGAAUUCCCAAGCAACACCAGGUACAAGGUUUCCAGUAAACUACAAAAUGACGCAAUCCACACUGCCUGACAGUAUCAAGAAGAAGAGGGAACAGGAUCAUAGUCACCCAACUGUGUCUUUCUCAAAUAAUAUAUAAUGUAGGGGACUACAGGGAGUGUGUACUAACCGUAAGUAAUAAAAGGGUGCUACUACAAUCUGCAUGAAGUCUGGGAUUCCACAGGAGCAUUGGGGGGGGGGGACGGACAAAGAAUGUGAAUUCAAAAAGUAGCAUCUUUCUAACCAUUACGGUAUCAAAGAUAUGCUGUAAAGCUGGGUAGCAAAUGUGGUAUCCUCUAGCUGUUGUUGAACUACAUUUCUCCCAGUCCCUGCCAGUAUAGUAAAUGAUCAGGAAUGAUGGGAUUUGUAGUUCAACCUCUGGAGGGCACCGCAAGCUACCCCUGUAGAAACCUUGCUCACAAUCUAUCUGCUUGCCACACCUUGACGUAUUCCGCCGCACGCACCCCCCAAUGGUAUUCUUGUUUAUGUCCUGCACAGUGUCACCACAUCAUUCGUUUCAUACCUUUCUUUAAUGGAACUGAAAGCAACAUACCUUGGACUCCCAGGCAACCUUUCAUUCAAACAUUGGCUAGGCCUGGUCCACUUAGUUCCAUCAAGGGUGCUGCUCCAUGCGCCUUCAGACAGUACCCCAGAACAGGGGCAUGUGUCCAAGUGAAACUCAGUUUUUAAACCUACAAAUUCCUUUAUUAUUAUGUGACUUGGCAUGAAUGGCAUUCUUAAAGAGUUUUAAGGGAUACAAAGUGACCUUUUUAGUCUAUGACCUUCCUAAAAGUCUUUACAUGCUUUCUAAAUAUAUGUUUUGGGGUCCUGAUAAUUAUCCCUUCUGUUAAGGCUAUAAAGCUAACAUACUAUUUCAAUUCUGCAUCAAAUAGCUUUGGUGACAUUUCAUGAAAGCUGCAGAUCUGCAAGGCCAAAAAGCUUUCUCACUUUUGUUACUAAACAUUCUAUUAGUGGUUGCAUUGCCGAUAUAACAUCAUGAAAGAGAUAAUGCUUGCAACAUCUUGCCUUUUUUCAUAAUGAUAGGCUAGCUAACAGCAAAUAGAUUUAUAAUGCAUUUCUGCCAUUCAAAUACAAUAGUGUAACUUCUGUGCCAUUUUUCUUAAAUGUCACUGUUCUUUUGCGAAUACAUUGACUUCUCUUUUUCAAAUAUAAUUUGUAUUUUUAUCCUUCUAGUAAGCGGAUGUCAUGUUUUUUCCUUCUUAUUAUAGCCGAAAACAAUCAGAAAGUUAAUUCCCCUCCUUUCUUUUUUCUGUUGCUUUUUUUGUUUAGCAUUUUAUCUGUUGCCUUAAAUGGGCUGUAGGUUUACCAUGCACCACAUUCAUCAGAUUUUCUUUCUGUGUUAAUUUAUGGGAAGGAUAAAAUACAAAAUCUGAAGGUACAAUUGUGCCCUCUAGUGUCUCGUGUUCCACGACCAUAUUUGAGUCAUCACAUCACUUCACCAGAAUGCAAGACAAACCUGCCCUUAGGCUUUCAAUCAUUCAUCCAAACUUUUCAAAAUGAAUGAAAUAAGCAUAUAUUUUAGAGAAGUAUUUGAAGAUCGUAAGUCAAAUGACUUUGUCAGAUUUCUGAUGACCGAAUUUGACUUUUAUAUACUGAGCAAUUUUAAAGGCAUGUUACUCAUCUAGGCACAUUUCAGUCGAGCUCCAGGCUUGGUUAUGGUACCAAAACAGCCUUAGUCCCCCUCACUGAUAACCUUUACUGGGAGAGAGAUAGUGAAAGUGCUACGCUUAUGAUUCUCCAUGAUAACUCUGCAGCUUUUGCUUUCACUGAUUAUGAUAUCCUUCUGGGAUCACUCCGAACUUCUGCUUACAGGUUCAUUACCAAAGAACACUACUGAAUGACUACUGUUUAGGUCCAUGGUAUGUAUAUGUACUAUGCAUUCCUCAUGCAUUCUAACCCCACUGCUCUUUAACAUCUAUAUAAAACUAUUGGAAGCUGUUAUGCAUGCAGCAUGCAGAUGAUACUCAAUACUAUCUCUUGGUUCUACCUGAACCAAGAGAAGGUAUUCAGGUGAAUCAGUAUCUGGACACUGACAGUCAUUCAGGCCAGGACUAGCCGCCUGAAAAACAGUUUCUACGCUAAUGCAAUUCUGGUUCUAAACUCAGCAUAAGGGGUUUCUGUAGUAUAGUGUGUUUUAAAAUGGGGUUUUAGAGUUUUUAGGGGUUUUUGAAUGUUUUAUGUAGUUUUUAUGUAGUUUUAUGUAGUUUUUAUGUAGUUUUAUGUAGUUUUGUGGUAGUUUUAUGUAGUUUUAUGUAGUUUUCAAUUUCAUUGUUCCACAAGGGACAAUGACAAUAAAGAUAUCGUAUCGUAUCGUAUCAUAUCCUGUGGGUCAACAAUACACAGGUUCAGUAACUGGAAUGUUGACCUGUUCUAGUCUAUGUAACAUUCCCCCUGAGGGAGCAAGUACAUAUAUGAAAGAGUGCCUUCUCCAAUACCUUUCAACUCAAAAUUGGUAAUCUGGGACAUAGGCCAAAUUGUGGUCCCACCAGCAGGAAUAGUAUGAAGAACAGGAACCUACAAUAGGGCAUUCUUGGCAGUGGCACCCUAGGCUAUGGAUCUCACCCAAGGGAAAGCAGGCCAUCCCCCUCUUUAACUACAUCCAGGAAACAUGUAAAGACUGUAUUUUAUUCAUUCAGGCUUUUGGCCAAUAAUUCUAUUAAGGUUUUAUUCAGCUAGUUUUGAUAGUUAUUGGUGUAUCUUCCUAUAUACAUAAAAAUGUAAGGCUGCCAUCGUGCAGUCCCCAUUGAAGGAUUUAUAGUGCGGUAUCAUAAUUGUGGAUUGCAUGAAAUCGGAAUGGAGCCACCACUGGAGAAUUUGUAGUGCCUCAUCCCAAUUCUGGAUUUGCACAAAGUCAGAAUAGGGGAAGGGAGCAAAAGAGAAGGCAGGUUUUAUAGCAGUUUUAAACACUAGCAGAGGUUUGAAUACAAAGGAGUAACAUUUGAUUAUUUUGAAGAAUUAUUGUAUGUACAACUGACAGGGGUAGUUGGAAGUCCUUUUUACUUAUAUGUUUUAUUUUCCUCUUUAUUCCUAUAUUAUUUCCUUUAAUAAUAUUAUCUCUUUGUUCCCUUUCCUUUUCUGCUUUGUUUUUGUUUGCUUUUGUAUUUUUUGUGGUCCUCUAUUCAGCAUUAAAGAGGGGCUAACAUGCAGGUGAAUGAAUAGUUGAUGAAGAUCCCUGAGUGUGAUGUAGGGAAGGGAAGAUCUCCCAGGGUAGAAGGGUGGGAGAAGAAAAGGAAGCCCCCAGGUGAAAACCUGGGAGGGUUCACCUUUCUCUAUGUGGGGCAAGUUAAGAUUUAUCUGUGAAAAAGGACUAUUUCUUCUUUAAGUUUCCAGUUUUGCUUAGAUUAGUUUUUUUAUUGUAAUGUAUUAUGAAGAUCUUAAUAACAUUUUAUUUUUAAAAAAGAGGGGGGAAAGGAGGAAAAUGAUUCCAAAUGGCACCUGGGGUUCAAAUGCAAUGCCAACACCCCCACCUCAGAAACCCCCGAGAUGAGUUGUGCAACAAUAUCCUGAGAGGUAUCCAAACACAGAGAGAACAAACAAAGCAUUUUUCAAAAUAUACAGUAGAUAUUGUCAGACCUAUACUUUAUAAUCCAGUUUCCACUAACACAACUAUAUGAACCAUAUCACUUUAAUAUGCAAUUUCCUCCUAGCUGUGAGCUUUAUGGAUUAAUUAAGGAUAAUUACUCAUUAUCAUGGUCAGUUUGCUAAAUUUAUGUACUGUAUUUCCAGCUUGAAUUAUUUAAGACAUAUUAAUUAUUUACAUCUUUUUAUUUCAUUCAAGGAAGUUAUUAGGAGCCAGAUGCGGUUAUUAGGCUUGGCAGACAAAGCAAAGUGCUGUCUCAUGAGGGUAAACUACACAGGGAAGGGAAAGGGACUGGCUUACUCAUGAUGACAUCUGUGGAUUACCGAAGAGAUGCAGGACAUGCUUUUAACUCCCUCAAAUGAUGAAGACUCUGUAUUACCUCUCUGCUUACUGUCUAGUGCAUAUUCCGAUAAAUCCUUGCCUGUGACCUUCACUCCUCCAACUCCAGAACCUUCAAACUGUCCAAAAAGAAAAGAAAAGAAAAGAAAAGAAAAGGGGGGAAAAAGACCUCCUGCUCCUCAAAUAAAUCCAUUUUUGUCCCUUA
rnacentral:lncRNA from 1 species